UCUGGCAAUGAUGACACACUUGCCCUCACUGAGAACAAUGUUCGAUAAUGAGAAUUUCAAUUUUGUACUCAGACCUGAGCCAGA